rfam:Sarcophilus harrisii ctg7180002485884, whole genome shotgun sequence.
CGAUGGGUCAUUAUUACUUUUGGUACGCGCUGUGACACAUCAAACUCGUACCGUGAGUAAUAAUGCGCCAUUG